rnacentral:lncRNA from 1 species
ACGCUUCCGGGAGGUCUAGGCGGCUGCCGUGAGCCGGUCCGAAACGGCUCUAGGUGCACUGUCCGGCUCCAGCCAGGUCCGCUACGCCUGGAGAGCAUGGAGGCAAGUUCUGCCGGCUCCACCUGCAAAGCAGAGCCCCUUUCCACGACUGUGCAGCACCGCUCGCUCCAGCCCCACCAUACCCGCCUGGACGGAGACCGACCGCAGCCUGGGAGAGCCUCCAAGCCUGGAGGCGGGCGCGCGAGCCCUUUCCAAGGAGAACCCACAGCGGCUUCCCCUCUUGCUCCAGGGGCCUCUAGAUCCCACCCCACCUGGCACCUGCGUCUCUCCCAGAACUCGGCCUGCCCCUACCUUCCCGCCAGCCCCCACCCUGCUGGGGCUACUGGGACCUCCUAGCGGCAUGCAGCGUUCAGGCUCAACCCCCGCUGUGCUCUGCGGUCGCAGCUGCAGCCGCUUCGGUGCUCCAAGACCAGAGAGGAAGCAAAGACAGAGCUUUCCCAGCCAGGCAUCGCUGCUUUGGCCUUGAAGGUCAGCGUGUGGCUACCUGGACCAAUUCUGUCUGAUGGGGUGUGCAGUAGUGUCAUGAACUACUUCUAUCCCAGGAAGUAACUUGUAAAUGAGUGGAUGAGCCAAUUCUCCUUCUUUCUCUUCCUGCUGGCUGAAGUGUGGACAUGAUGGCAGGAGCUGCAGCAGUCACAUUGGACCAUGGGUCAUCGUGGGAAUGGAAGUCACACAAGGGUAUUUAAAGCCACACAAGGAUAAUGAGCACUGGAUAGAUGGAGCCCGAGUCCCCAUCACAGUGUAGCCCCUGUAACAGAUCUAGACUUCCUGCCUCCCACAUUGAGUAAACUGCUCUCUUGCUUAAGCCACUAUUAUGUUAGGAUUUUUUCAACCCAUAGUCAGAGAUAGUCCUAACUGAUUCACCACCCUCAGAGAGUUUACAGCCAAUUAUGUUUCUCAUGAAAAAGGUUAGCCAGUGGUUGUAAGUGAUCCCGGACUGGAGCGCCAGCUGCACUCUGGCAUGUUACCACAAGUACAGUGGUAACUAAGCAGGUCGGCAUAGGUGCCCACAGAGCAGACUGAACACCCCGUUUGCUUCCCUCUCCUCUCCGAACUCCCUGGACAUGGCCAAGUAGCAUAAGCCAAGCAGAGGUGAGAAGGAGAGUGGGGCACAGGCAAGUUACCAGUGGGCCCGCGGCUAUCAUGGACUUCCAGAAAAUAAAAAACAGGCAUGAUGGUGUUGGUUUAUAAACCAAAGCAGAGGGCACUGGAGCCCCGUAAGUGUGCAGGAGUGAAUGUAUGUGGCAGGGAGAAGGGUAGAAGGGAGGAGGUUGGGUAGAAGGCUACCUCUACCAGCUGGAAAUGAGUGGUGAAGUCAGCUGGACUUCUGGGUGGGGCGGGGACUUGGAGAACUUUUCUGUCUUACAAAGGGAUUGUAAAAUGCACAAAUCAGCACUCUGUAGAUAGGAUUGUAAAACGCACCAAUCAGCUCUCUGUGGCUAGCUAGAGGUUUCUAAAAUGGACCAAUCAGUGCUUUGUAAAGUGGACCAAUCAGAACACUGUAAAAUGGACCAAUUAGUGCUCUGUAAAAUGGACCAAUCAGACCAAUCAGCACUCUGUAAAAUGGACCAAUCAGCAGGACAUGGGUGGGGACAAAUAAGGGAAUAAAAGCUGGCCACCCUCCAGUCAGCAGCAGGCAACCCACUGGGUCCCCAUCCCUGUUGUGGUGUAUUUGUUAUUUUGCUCUUGGCAAUAAAUCUUGCUGCUGCUCAUGACAAAGAAGACAAGGAAGACAAGGAAGGUGAUCCGGGAGGCUGGAGAGCUUGUCAAGGUCACAGACCCACGGUUUUCCGCCCCCUAGGGUCCAAGCUCUUUCCUGGACAUCUGCAG